rnacentral:rRNA from 1 species
AUUGAACGCUGGCGGCAUGCUUUACACAUGCAAGUCGAACGGCAGCGCGGGCUUCGGCCUGGCGGCGAGUGGCGAACGGGUGAGUAAUAUAUCGGAACGUACCCAGGAGUGGGGGAUAACGUAGCGAAAGUUACGCUAAUACCGCAUACGUCCUAAGGGAGAAAGUGGGGGAUCGCAAGACCUCAUGCUCAUGGAGCGGCCGAUAUCUGAUUAGCUAGUUGGUGGGGUAAAGGCUCACCAAGGCAACGAUCAGUAGCUGGUCUGAGAGGACGACCAGCCACACUGGAACUGAGACACGGUCCAGACUCCUACGGGAGGCAGCAGUGGGGAAUUUUGGACAAUGGGGGCAACCCUGAUCCAGCAAUGCCGCGUGAGUGAAGAAGGCCUUCGGGUUGUAAAGCUCUUUUGUCAGGGAAGAAACGACUCCUUCUAAUACAGGGGGUUAAUGACGGUACCUGAAGAAUAAGCACCGGCUAACUACGUGCCAGCCGCCGCCGUAA